AUAGCCGCAGUACCCUGACUGUGCAAAGGUAGCAUAAUCAGUUGGCUUAUAAUUGAAGUCUAGUAUGAACGAAAGAAUGGGAGUGAGCUAUCUAAGAAUUGUAUCAAAAAAUUACUUAAUAAGUGAAAAUUCUUAUUUAAAUAUAAUAGACGAGAAGACCCUAGAAAUUUUCAGUAAUAUUUUAUCUAAUGGUUUUUGUUGGGGCGACACAGUAGCAAGCAUAAACCUACUUAGAAGGAUCAGAUUACUUUAAUAUGUAUAAUUAAAUUACUCUAGGGAUAACAGCAUAAUAUUGUAAAGUUUGUGACCUCGAUGUUGGACUAGGAAAGUAUAACCCAGAAGG
rnacentral:rRNA from 1 species